GACAGAGGGUGCAAGCGUUAAUCGGAAUUAUUGGGCGUAAAGCGCGCGUAGGUGGAUUAGUAAGUUGGAUGUGAAAGCCCUAGGCUUAACCUGGGAAUUGCAUUUAAUACUGCUCGUCUAGAGUACAAUAGAGGGAAGUGGAAUUUCCGGUGUAGCGGUGAAAUGCGUAGAUAUCGGAAAGAACAUCAGUGGCGAAGGCGACUUCCUAGAUUGACACUGACACUGAGGCGCGAAAGCGUGGGGAG
rnacentral:rRNA from 1 species